UCUUUCAUGACCAACUCCAACCGACAAGUACACGCCCCUUCUCGCACUCCACUAGCUAGUAAACUGAGCUACAAGGUGUGCCAGGCACCCAGGACGCCGAUUCACCGCUUCAGUGAAGGCCCAGCUCAAAUGCCACCUCUUCCAUGAAGACUUCCGUGAUCCACAAUGAUAGCAUCUCCAGCAAUUGCUUCUAUAAUAAAUAGCAUGAGUCAUUCUGCAGGAUAUUGAUCUUCCUUUUUUUACUCCUAGACUGAAUUUUUCCACCACCUGGAUGAACAUAGCAGAAAGAACAUAGUGUUUUAGAGUCAGACACAAUAGGAAUCAGGCACUUUGGAAUCUUGGCUCUGCCACCUUUGAGCUGUGCAUCCCAAAAGCCCUCUUUCUUCCAUUCACUUACUUGUCUAGUCAAACACCCAUCAGACCUUUGCCAGGUGUCCAGCCUGGGCACUAUGUUUCAAAAAAUGAUGCACAUAGCAUCCCUAACUGAAAGGAGAUCACAGCUCAUUUGGUACAAAGUGCUUUUAGCCUGGGUAGGAGCUGGAGAGAUGUGAAAAUGUGGAAAGCAAGCCUAAG
rnacentral:antisense_RNA from 1 species